CCAAAAACUGAACCUACAAAAAAAAAAUCCCAAACAAAUCUUAGCGGUUGUCUCCGUUCUUUCCUUCUCUUUUUCUUUCGGUUUUUCCUGAUCCUAGGCAACACGAAACCGCGCAUUCUGAUUUUAAACUUUUCGUCGAUGGAUUCACUACCAAGAUCUUUCAAUGCCAACAAGCACCUCAAAGAACAAUUCGUCAGCAAUUUGACGGGAUCGUCGAUGCUAGAAAUCUCCGCGCUUUUGACCACUGUCCCUAUUCUAGUACUUUUGCGGCCGUCCAUCUGUUUUCAAGCCCUAACUGAUGGUGAUACCAAAGAGACCUCUUUAAAGAAAAAUGAUACUGCAAUCGUUGCUUUUAAGAAUUUAAAGGCUUACCUAGCCACAUUAGUUAUGGAUUCUGUCUUCAUUGUUCUUCCCACACUUUUACUUUUCACUGUUCUAGCUGAGUGGAUAUAUGUAUGGAUGAUUUUGUUAUCGUUGUUGCUGAUUUUCGUUAUUGCAGGCAAAAGAUCUCCUCAUUCGCCUUACUUGGAAGGACCUAAAUCUUUUAGGAUGAGUAUAUCAUCGUAUAGGGUUGCUAUGAUGUUUGUUACAUGCUUGUGUAUCUUGGCUGUUGACUUCAGAAUAUUUCCUAGAGAAUUUGCUAAGACUGAGACUUAUGGUACUAGCUUGAUGGACCUUGGAGUUGGCUCCUUUGUACUAGUGAAUUCAAUUGUUUCACGGCAAGCGCGAAAUGUCUCAUCAUCAAUGGAUUGGUGGAAGGCAGCCCUUAAAUCUACGAGUCCACUACUACUGCUAGGAUUUGCUAGACUUGUUUCUACAAUGAGUGUGGACUAUCAGGUACAUGUGGGGGAAUAUGGAGUACACUGGAAUUUCUUUUUCACACUUGCUGGUGUAUCUAUCCUUACAUCCACAGUAAAUGUUCCCUCAAAAUAUUCUGGAAUUCUUGGUUCAGUAAUUUUAGUUGGGUACCAAAGUUGGUUGAGCAGUGGGUUAAAUGUGUAUCUUCUUUCUAACAAAAGGGGAAUGGAUAUCAUAAGCAGAAACAAGGAGGGAAUUUUUAGCAUAUUUGGAUACUGGGGUAUGUAUCUUAUUGGUGUUCAGGUGGGCUACUACCUCUUCUUUGGAAAUCAUUCCUCUGUCAUGCUGAGAAGCAACAAUGGAACACGAAUUAGAGUCUGGCUUCUUUCUAUUCUGUUUUGGAUUCUAACUGUGCUUCUAGACAGGCAUGUUGAAAGAAUUUCACGUAGAAUGUGCAACCUGCCUUAUGUUACUUGGGUGCUGGCUCAAAAUCUGCAGAAAUGGUGAGACUUUGAGGAAAAUUUUUUUGUUUUGGCUUAGUGCUCCUCAUCCCAACAUUGAUAGGAAUCACAGAAUCAAGUAUCAACCAUGACAUGGAUAGAAAUUUUUCAGUCGAAAUUAUCCACAUUUGUUCUACAUCGGUCUCUCAAGAGAAGAACUUCACUCUUCAGAAACUUGUUACCCAAACUUUUAGCAAUACUAAUGCUUUCUGAUUAUGUCCCUGGGAGCAAAAUGUCAGCUCUUGAAAAGGCAUUUGAUCGGAAUUUAUUGGCUUCCUUUCUGCUGGCUAAUGUGCUCACAGGGCUGGUAAACUUGUUUGUGGAUACGCUGUUUGCCUCCUCAGUAUCAGCUCUUCUAAUCCUGAUUUCCUAUGCUUUGACUUUGUCUGUUGUCAUGGGAAUAGUAGAUUUUUAUGGUGUUAGGUUAAAAUUUUGGUAGGUCGACCACCGUUCUAUCUGUUCAAAAUGUUUUAUGAAAGCUGUAAUGAAUUAAUUCGGUUUUGUUGUGCAUUUGAAACAAACCACAAAUUCAUAGUUGAUAUUGUCUCUCUAUCCAAUGCUACUCUGGUUGACAGAUUAUUAAUAUUAUGGCCCCUUAAAAGA